AUGGACAUGAAGGUUCCCGCUCAGCUCCAGGGGCUCUUGCUGCUCUGGCUCCCAGGUACCAGAUAUGACAUCCAGAUGAAGCAGUCUCCAUCCUCCCUCUCUGUAUCUCCUGGAGAAACAGUCACCAUCACUUGCAGAACCAGUCAGAACAGUUACAGUGGUUUACAUUGGUAUCAGCAGAAACCAGGGAAAGUUCCUAAACUCCUGAUCUAUGCUGCUAGCAGUUUGCAAUCUGGGGUCCCACCGAGGUUCAGUGGCAGUGGAUCUGGGACACACUAUUCACUCUUCUUCAGUAGUGUGGAGGCUGAAGAUGUUGCAACUUAUUACUGUCAGCAUGAUUAUGAGUUCCCUCCCACAGUGAUACAAACCAUAACAGAAGCCACCUAGGGAAGCAGAAGUGUGAGGCUGAGCUGCCCCAGCUGCUCCUCCUGGUGUCCCCUCCUCCUGACAGCAUUUCUCAGAUGUAGACAGGUUUUGAAGUUCACUUGGAGGAUUUGGGAGAAGGGUCAAGGAGGCUCCACUGCAUCCUAUCUCUCCAUCUCUUCCUUGGGCCCAGC